CCAAUAGCGUAUAUUAAAGUUGUUGCAGUUAAAAAGCUCGUAGUUGAAUUUCGGGAUUGACGCGACGGUCGUGCCUUAAGGGGCGUGAACUGUCGCCGUUGAUUUCUCACCUUCUGGAGAAGCUCGAUGUCCUUAAUUGGAUGUCUUGUGGAACCAGGACCUUUACCUUGAAAAAAUUAGAGUGUUUAAAGCAGGCAUUU
rnacentral:rRNA from 1 species